UACGUAGGGGGCAAGCGUUGUCCGGAAUCAUUGGGCGUAAAGCGCGCGUAGGCGGCCAGAUAAGUCCGGUGUGAAAGUCACAGGCUCAACCUGUGAAUGCCGCUGGAAACUGUCUGGCUUGAGUCCGGAAGGGGCGAGUGGAAUUCCUGGUGUAGCGGUGAAAUGCGCAGAUAUCAGGAGGAACACCGGUGGCGAAGGCGGGUCUCUGGGCCGUAACUGACGCUGAGGAGCGAAAGCGUGGGGAGCGAACAGG
rnacentral:rRNA from 1 species